GGGGGAUAACAUUUGGAAACAGAUGCUAAUACCGCAUAAAACCUAACACCGCAUGGUGUAGGGUUGAAAGAUGGUUUCGGCUAUCACUUUAGGAUGGACCCGCGGUGCAUUAGUUAGUUGGUGAGGUAAAGGCUCACCAAGACCGUGAUGCAUAGCCGACCUGAGAGGGUAAUCGGCCACACUGGGACUGAGACACGGCCCAGACUCCUACGGGAGGCAGCAGUAGGGAAUCUUCCACAAUGGACGAAAGUCUGAUGGAGCAACGCCGCGUGAGUGAAGAAGGUUUUCGGAUCGUAAAACUCUGUUGUUGGAGAAGAAUGUAUCUGAUAGUAACUGAUCAGGUAGUGACGGUAUCCAACCAGAAAGCCACGGCUAACUACGUGCCAGCAGCCGCGGUAAUACGUAGGUGGCAAGCGUUGUCCGGAUUUAUUGGGCGUAAAGCGAGCGCAGGCGGUUUCUUAAGUCUGAUGUGAAAGCCUUCGGCUCAACCGAAGAAGUGCAUCGGAAACUGGGAAACUUGAGUGCAGAAGAGGACAGUGGAACUCCAUGUGUAGCGGUGAAAUGCGUAGAUAUAUGGAAGAACACCAGUGGCGAAGGCGGCUGUCUGGUCUGUAACUGACGCUGAGGCUCGAAAGCAUGGGUAGCAAACAGGAUUAGAUACCCUGGUAGUCCAUGCCGUAAACGAUGAGUGCUAGGUGUUGGAGGGUUUCCGCCCUUCAGUGCCGCAGCUAACGCAUUAAGCACUCCGCCUGGGGAGUACGACCGCAAGGUUGAAACUCAAWGGAAUUGACGGGGGCCCGCACAAGCGGUGGAGCAUGUGGUUUAAUUCGAAGCAACGCGAAGAACCUUACCAGGUCUUGACAUCCUUUGACCACUCUAGAGAUAGAGCUUUCCCUUCGGGGACAAAGUGACAGGUGGUGCAUGGUUGUCGUCAGCUCGUGUCGUGAGAUGUUGGGUUAAGUCCCGCAACGAGCGCAACCCUUAUUACUAGUUGCCAGCAUUUAGUUGGGCACUCUAGUGAGACUGCCGGUGACAAACCGGAGGAAGGUGGGGACGACGUCAAAUCAUCAUGCCCCUUAUGACCUGGGCUACACACGUGCUACAAUGGAUGGUACAACGAGUUGCGAGACCGCGAGGUUUAGCUAAUCUCUUAAAA
rnacentral:rRNA from 1 species